rnacentral:siRNA from 1 species
UGCUACAAUGGUGCUACUAGUGUC